rnacentral:tRNA from 2 species
GGCAGGGUGGCUCAGUGGUACGGCGGGGGAUUGCAAAUCCCUUAUUCGCGAGUUCGAUUCUCGCCCCUGCCUCCA